UAACAGUUAGAAAUGACUGCUAAUACCGCAUAAGACCACAGAGCCGCAUGGCUCGGUGGGAAAAACUCCGGUGGUAUGAGAUGGACCCGCGUCUGAUUAGGUAGUUGGUGGGGUAACGGCCUACCAAGCCAACGAUCAGUAGCCGACCUGAGAGGGUGACCGGCCACAUUGGGACUGAGACACGGCCCAAACUCCUACGGGAGGCAGCAGUGGGGAAUAUUGCACAAUGGGGGAAACCCUGAUGCAGCGACGCCGCGUGAGCGAAGAAGUAUUUCGGUAUGUAAAGCUCUAUCAGCAGGGAAGAAAAUGACGGUACCUGACUAAGAAGCACCGGCUAAAUACGUGCCAGCAGCCGCGGUAAUACGUAUGGUGCAAGCGUUAUCCGGAUUUACUGGGUGUAAAGGGAGCGUAGACGGCUGUGUAAGUCUGAAGUGAAAGCCCGGGGCUCAACCCCGGGACUGCUUUGGAAACUAUGCAGCUAGAGUGUCGGAGAGGUAAGUGGAAUUCCCAGUGUAGCGGUGAAAUGCGUAGAUAUUGGGAGGAACACCAGUGGCGAAGGCGGCUUACUGGACGAUGACUGACGUUGAGGCUCGAAAGCGUGGGGAGCAAACAGGAUUAGAUACCCUGGUAGUCCACGCCGU
rnacentral:rRNA from 1 species